rnacentral:rRNA from 1 species
UACGUAGGGUGCAAGCGUUAAUCGGAAUUACUGGGCGUAAAGCGCGUGUAGGCGGCUUGGCAAGUCGGAUGUGAAAGCCCACGGCUCAACCGUGGAAGCGCAUCCGAAACUGCUUCGCUUGAGUCUCGGAGAGGAAGGGGGAAUGCUUGGUGUAGAGGUGAAAUUCGUAGAUAUCAAGCAGAACACCUGCGGCGAAGGCGGCCUUCUGGACGAUGACUGACGCUGAGACGCGAAAGCGUGGGGAGCAAACAGG